rnacentral:tRNA from 2 species
GGGCCCGUAGUCUAGCGGUAGGAUUCCGGCCUCGCUAGCCGGAGGUCCCGGGUUCGAAUCCCGGCGGGUCCA